AUUGAACGCUGGCGGCAGGCCUAACACAUGCAAGUCGAACGAGUGGCGGACGGGUGAGUAAUGUCUGGGAAACUGCCUGAUGGAGGGGGAUAACUACUGGAAACGGUAGCUAAUACCGCAUACCAUCAGAUGUGCCCAGAUGGGAUUAGCUAGUUGGAGGGUUAACGGCUCACCAAGGCGACGAUCCCUAGCUGGUCUGAGAGGAUGACCAGCCCCACGAGAACGCGGACAGGGUCCAGACUCCGACGGGAGGCCGCGGAGGGGAUUAUUGCACAUUGGGCGCACGCUGGAUGCAGCCCUGCCGCGUGUAUAAAAAAGGCCUUCGGGUUGUAAUGUACUUUCAGCGGGGAGGCGUUACCCGCCGAAGAAGCACCGGCUAACUCCGUGCCAGCAGCCGCGGUAAUAC
rnacentral:rRNA from 1 species